rnacentral:tRNA from 1 species
GGCUGGGGCUCAGUGGCAGAGCGCUUGCCUAGCACACAUGAGGCCCUGGGUUCGAUCCUCAGCACCA